rnacentral:tRNA from 1 species
GGGCUCAUAGUAAAGUGGUAUUACGCCUGCAUGGCAUGCAGGAGGCCGGGGUCCGAUUCCCCGUGGGUCCA